GGCCAGGGUUCUGUGCUCCUGCCUGGCUGGCCUUGUCCCACCGCUCCCUGACCCACUGCCCUGUCAGAGAGGACCCCAGGGGCCAGGGAAUGGCAUCACUUUCCCUUCUGUGGGGCUGGGUGCUCAUGGCUGCCCUGAGCACAGGUGCCAAUGCGAGCUUGGUGGAGCAAAGGCCCAGGUGGGCCCUGGUACGUCGGGGACAGGCUGAAACCCUGAGCUGCUUCCUGAGGGAUGCCCAGUACCCCUGGAUGAGCUGGUACCAACAGGAUCUCCAGGGGCAACUCCAGGUGCUGGCCAGUCUGCGGUUUUCUGGGGACAAGGAGGUCAUAUCCCUUCCUGGAGCGGAUUACCAGGUCACACGGGUUGAUGACAAGGAGCUGAGGCUGCAGGUGGCCAAUGUGACCCAGGGCAGAACCCUGUACUGCACCUGCAGCAAAGACACAGUGAGAAACCCUCCUUAG